rnacentral:lncRNA from 1 species
AUUCAAACCUGACUCCAUUAGGUGCUGCUCAUUGCCUUGGAGGCUGCUGCUCCUGUGUGUCAGAUCCACAGAGAUAUCCGAGUUCAGAAAUGAGUGGAAAAAUACCCAUGGUGGGCAGGAAGAGAAAUCCCCUUGCUAUAUUCCCAUUGUGAGCAGUGCCACCCUGUGGGAUAGAAGCACACCCAGUGCAAAGCACAUCCCUUGUUAUGAAAGAACUUCAGUACCCUGCUCCAGAUUCAUUAAUCACAUGAAGAAUUUCUCUGAAUCUCCUAAAUUUCGUAGUCUACACUUUCUGAAUUUUCCAGGAAGUCACCAUGGACAGGCCACACAGAAAUUACAGGGAGCUAUGGUUCUUCACCUUGAAGAAUGUCACCACUCCUAGAAGCCCUUUCCUGCACUUCCUGGCUCCUCAGAUUUUGUUUAAAUAUAAGAACUGGAAAACCAAAGCUUUGUCAUCUCUAAAACACCUUCACUGAGAAACGAAGUGUCCUUCUCAUCCCAUGGGGCUGUUCUGGGUAUCAAGUAAGAUACUGAUAUGAAGUGUUUU